rnacentral:lncRNA from 1 species
AUUCAACACUACCUGACAGUGCAACCUGGCUUCUUAUGUGGAAGAUGUUAGGCUGUGAAUUUUGCCACAGGAAAGGAGGAUGUCUGCCAUGUGAAAUAAGUAGCCCAGGUGCCUUUUCUCAGCUUACCUAUGUAUGAAUAGUCCCACAGCAGGCUCCUGGGUCAAGAAUUGACUGAUGGCAACUGACUACAUGGAGAAUAUUUGGCCAUUAAAACUCUGAGGAAAAAAAAGAAAAUUUUUACUCAUUAGAAAAGAAAUAAGUCAAAGCAAUGUUGUAGCUACAGUUUUUAAUUUUUACAUAUAUUACUUGUGUUAACAUAUGUCAU